rnacentral:rRNA from 1 species
ACGGGAGACACACGGCGGGUGCUAACGUCCGUCGUGAAGAGGGAAACAACCCAGACCGCCAGCUAAGGUCCCAAAGUCAUGGUUAAGUGGGAAACGAUGUGGGAAGGCCCAGACAGCCAGGAUGUUGGCUUAGAAGCAGCCAUCAUUUAAAGAAAGCGUAAUAGCUCACUGGUCGAGUCGGCCUGCGCGGAAGAUGUAACGGGGCUAAACCAUGCACCGAAGCUGCGGCAGCGACACUGUGUGUUGUUGGGUAGGGGAGCGUUCUGUAAGCCUGUGAAGGUGUGUCGUGAGGCAUGCUGGAGGUAUCAGAAGUGCGAAUGCUGACAUAAGUAACGAUAAAGCGGGUGAAAAGCCCGCUCGCCGGAAGACCAAGGGUUCCUGUCCAACGUUAAUCGGGGCAGGGUGAGUCGACCCCUAAGGCGAGGCCGAAAGGCGUAGUCGAUGGGAAACGGGUUAAUAUUCCCGUACUUGGUGUUACUGCGAAGGGGGGACGGAGAAGGCUAUGUUGGCCGGGCGACGGUUGUCCCGGUUUAAGCGUGUAGGUGUGUGUUCCAGGUAAAUCCGGUUCACUUUAACACUGAGGCGUGACGACGAGGCACUACGGUGCUGAAGCAACAAAUGCCCUGCUUCCAGGAAAAGCCUCUAAGCAUCAGGUAACAUCAAAUCGUACCCCAAACCGACACAGGUGGUCAGGUAGAGAAUACCAAGGCGCUUGAGAGAACUCGGGUGAAGGAACUAGGCAAAAUGGUGCCGUAACUUCGGGAGAAGGCACGCUGACACGUAGGUGAAGUGAUUUACUCAUGGAGCUGAAGUCAGUCGAAGAUACCAGCUGGCUGCAACUGUUUAUUAAAAACACAGCACUGUGCAAACACGAAAGUGGACGUAUACGGUGUGACGCCUGCCCGGUGCCGGAAGGUUAAUUGAUGGGGUCAGCGCAAGCGAAGCUCCUGAUCGAAGCCCCGGUAAACGGCGGCCGUAACUAUAACGGUCCUAAGGUAGCGAAAUUCCUUGUCGGGUAAGUUCCGACCUGCACGAAUGGCGUAAUGAUGGCCAGGCUGUCUCCACCCGAGACUCAGUGAAAUUGAACUCGCUGUGAAGAUGCAGUGUACCCGCGGCAAGACGGAAAGACCCCGUGAACCUUUACUAUAGCUUGACACUGAACAUUGAGCCUUGAUGUGUAGGAUAGGUGGGAGGCUUUGAAGUGUGGACGCCAGUCUGCAUGGAGCCGACCUUGAAAUACCACCCUUUAAUGUUUGAUGUUCUAACGUGGACCCGUUACCCGGGUUGCGGACAGUGUCUGGUGGGUAGUUUGACUGGGGCGGUCUCCUCCUAAAGAGUAACGGAGGAGCACGAAGGUUGGCUAAUCCUGGUCGGACAUCAGGAGGUUAGUGCAAUGGCAUAAGCCAGCUUGACUGCGAGCGUGACGGCGCGAGCAGGUGCGAAAGCAGGUCAUAGUGAUCCGGUGGUUCUGAAUGGAAGGGCCAUCGCUCAACGGAUAAAAGGUACUCCGGGGAUAACAGGCUGAUACCGCCCAAGAGUUCAUAUCGACGGCGGUGUUUGGCACCUCGAUGUCGGCUCAUCACAUCCUGGGGCUGAAGUAGGUCCCAAGGGUAUGGCUGUUCGCCAUUUAAAGUGGUACGCGAGCUGGGUUUAGAACGUCGUGAGACAGUUCGGUCCCUAUCUGCCGUGGGCGCUGGAGAACUGAGGGGGGCUGCUCCUAGUACGAGAGGACCGGAGUGGACGCAUCACUGGUGUUCGGGUUGUCAUGCCAAUGGCACUGCCCGGUAGCUAAAUGCGGAAGAGAUAAGUGCUGAAAGCAUCUAAGCACGAAACUUGCCCCGA